UGCUCCAAAAUAGCCUGGUUAAUAUUUGCGGCGUGGUUCAGCUCCUUUCUCUCUCCUGCCUCUCAAAAAGAUGCUAUUCCUGUGAUUAAAACCAUUACAGUCCUUCAAAGGUUAUACAUGACUUUCAGGCUUCAGUCUCAAUAGAAGCAGCUAAAAUAGCUAAGCUUUAGACACAAGUCUAGCUGUUACAGCCAAAUUAUAGUACACCAAUCAGACCUUCAUGCUAUUGUUCUAUAGGAUAUGAGGGGCCAUUGAAACCCAUCUGGGUCUCUACUUUGCAUAUCGCCCUGAGGAAGUGAGCCACCACUGAGUCUCUAGAUGGUUUUGGGGUACAUGUGAAGAACAUGCAUCAAAACAGCAUGGUACUGGUACCAAAACAGAGAUAUAGACCAAUGGAACAGAACAAAGGCCUCGGAGGCAACACAACAUAUCUACAGCCAUCUGAUCUUUGAUAAACCUGACAAAAACAAGCAAUGGGGAAAAAUUCCCUGAUUAAUAAAUGGUGUUGGGAAAACUGGCUAGCCAUAUGCAGAAAGCAGAAACUGGACCCCUUCCUGACGCCUUACACUAAAAUUAACUCCAGAUGGAUUAAAGACUUAAACAUAAGACCUAACACCAUAAAAACCCUAGAAGAAAAUCUAGGCAAAACCAUUCAGGACAUAGGAGUAGGCAAGGACUUCAUGACCAAAACACCCAAAGCAUUGGCAACAGAAGCCAAAAUAGACAAAUGGAACCUAAUCAAACUCCACAGCUUCUGCAAAGCAAAAGAAACAGUCAUUAGAGUGAAUCGGCAACCAACAGAAUGGGAAACAAUUUUUGCAGUUUACCCAUCUGACAAAGGGCUGAUAUCCAGAACUUGCAUAUGUUUUUUAAGAAUUCUCCCUGCUCUUUAUUGCAAUUCAUUCCUAUUUUAUUGCCAAUUUGUAUUUCAUUGUUCAAAUAGACCACAGCUUGUUUAUCCACUCCUGUUGAUGGUCAUUUGGACCCUCUAUUUUUGUCCGUUGUGAAUAAAGCUGCUAAGAACAUAAAUACAACUUCUUUUCUGAAAGUAUAUUUUAAUUUCUCUUAGGUACGUGACUAGGAAUGGUAUUGUUGGGUAGUAUGGUAAUAAUGGCAAUAUGUUUAACUUUAUGAUAGACUGCCAAACUGUUUUCCACAGUGAUUAUACCAUUUUAUACUUCCAGUUCUAGCUGCUUCAAAUCCUUACCAAUGACUUGAUAUUUUGGUAAUUUUAAUUUUAAUCAUCCCACUGAGUGUGUAGUGGUAUCUCAUGAUUUUUAUUUGCAUUUACUUGAUAACUAAUGGUAUUCAACAUCUUUUGUAUUGGUGCUAAAUAUCAUUUGACAUAUUGGCUGUGUGUGUGUGUGUGUGUGUGUGUGUGUGUGUGUUAGUUAUACUUUGUAAAUAUAGUUAUAUUCUGGAGAUAAGUACCAGGACUUGUAUCCUAUUACAUGUAUUGGGAAUAUUAUCUCCUACUUUUUCCAGCGUGUGUUAUACUUUGUAAAUAUACUUAUAUUCUGGAGAUAAGUACCAGGACUUGUAUCCUAUUACAUGUAUUGGGAAUAUUAUCUCCUAUUUUUUCCAGCCUGUGGCUUGACUUUUCAUUUUCUUUUUCUUUUGUUUUUUGAGACAGAGUCUCACUCUGUUGCUCAGGCUGGAGUGCAAUGGCAUGAUCACAGCUCACUGCAGCCUUGUCCUCUUGGGCUUAAGAAGCAAUCCUCCCAUCUCAGCCUAUCCAGUAGCUGGGACCAUAGGCAUGUGCCACCACAACUGGCUAAUUUAUAAAUGUUUUGUAGAGGGGGUUUUCCUGUGUUGCCCACACUGGUCUCGAAUUUCUGGGCUCUAGUGACCCUCGCACCUUGGCCUCCCAAAGUACUUGAAUUAUAGGUGUGAGACAUCAUGUCUGGCCUUAUUUUCUUAAUAGUGUCUUUUGAAGAGCAAGAAGUUAUACUUUGAUGAAGGACAAUUCAUCAAGUUUUACCUUGAUGUUUUAUUUUGGUUUAUAAUCUAAGAAACCUUUGCUUAUUGAAAGUUCAUGAAGAAUUUUUCUUACUUUUAUCCCCAUAAGCUUUAUAGUUUUAGCCUUUACAUUUAGGUCUGAGACACAUUUCAAUUUAAUCUUUGUGCGUAUUAUAUGGUAUAAAGGUGAAGAUUCAUGGUUUUUCAUAUAGACAUCUAGUUGUUCCAAUACUGUUUUUGGAAAGACUAUAUGUUCCCUGUUGAAUUACCUUAGCAUCUCUGUUGAAAACCAAUUUGCCAUCUGUAUCCAAGUUUAUUUUUGGACCUUUUUUUCUGUAAAUGAAUCUAUAGAUCUGUAGUGUAAAUCUUUCACCUGUGUUCUAUUUUAAAUUGUUGAGUCACUUUAGUCUUUUGCAUCAUCUCCAUAUAAACUAUAAAAACAGUUCAUCAAUUUCUUUAAAAAAGCCUUAUGGACUUUUUAUUGAUGUUUUACUGAAUCUAUAAAUAAAUAUGAAGAGAAUUAGCAUCAAAACAAUGAGUUUUCAAUUUAUGAAAAUGAAUUUCAGAGAAAUUUAUUAGAAUCUUAAUUCCUGUCAUUAAUAUUUAGUGGCUUUUAAGUAUAACAAUAUUGCACAUAUUUUGUUAAAUUUAUCUGAAGCAUUUUAUGUUUGUGGAUGCCAUUUUUAAAAUUUAAUUUAGUUUAAUUUUAAAUUUUGGGAUAUCUGUGCAGGAAAUUCAUGUUUUUUACAUAGGUAAGUCUGUGCCAUGGUGGUUUGCUACACUUAUCAAUCCAUCAUCUAGGUAUUAAGCCUCUCAUGCAUUAGCUAUUCAUCCUGAUGCUCUCCCUCUCCCCUGGAUGCUAUUGUUAAUGGUAUUUUUAACUAUGAGAUUCCAGUUGUUCAUUACUAGUGUGUAGAAAUAGAUUUUUGUAUCUUGACCUUAUAUCUCGUAACUUUUUUUAUAGCUACUCAUUAUAUCUAGUAGCUUUCUUUUGUAGAUUUUUAAAGAUUUUUCUCAUAAAUGAUGUGUUUUUCUCUACUCACAUCAAGUUUUAUUUCUUCCUUUACAAAAUAUAUUCCAUUUAUUUCUUUUUCUUGGCUUAUCAUAGUGGCUAGAAACACCAGGAGAAUGUUGAAUAAAAGUUGUGAGAGCAGGCAUCCUUGCCUUUUUCUUGAUGUUUGAGUGAAAGCCUUCAAUAUUUCAUCACUGAAUAUAAUAUUAGCUCCAGCUUUUUUGUAAUUGCUUUUCGUCAGUUUGAGGAAGUGCUUUCAGCACUUUGAAUAUGUCAUUCUGUUGUCAGUUGGUUUGCACUGUUUCUAUAUAGUAGCCAGAAUAUUUUAUUUUCUUUCAUCGCCAGAACAAGUAUCUCUUUUCUUGGUUGCCUUUAACAUUUUUUAUCUUUAACAGUGACUUGCCUUGAUUAUGCAAGUAAGUGCUUAUGAUAUGCCUUGGUAUAGUUGUGUGUGUGUGUAUGUGUGUGCACACAUGCUUAUGCAGAAAUUAUUGUGGGUACAGAAUUGAGAGUAAUGAUAGUGUGUAUGCAUGCUUGUGCAUUAAUCUGCCUAGAUAUUUUUUGAGAUUCUUGAAUCUAUAGAUUUAUAUUUUUCAAAAAGAAAUAUUUGGACAUUAUUUCUUCAAACAUUUUUUCUUCCCUCCUUUGAUUCUGAUUACACUUAUGAUAAACUAUUGAAUUGAUCUCACAGGUCACUGAGAAUCUGUUGUUUUUUCAGCCUGCUUUGUCUCUAUGAUUCCGUUUAGAUAAUUUCUAUUGACUGAUCUUUGAGUUUACUGAUUUUUUUCUUCUUUAGUGUCUAAUUUGCUCUUAAUUGCAUCCAGUAGCAUUCUGACAUCAGCUAUUAUGGGUUUUAGAAGUUUAUUUUAGUUGUUUGUAGUUUCCAGUAAUAUUUAUAUUUGUUUCUCAUGUUAACAUAUUUUAGUAGCUAUAUUAAAAGUUCUUGUCUGCUAAUUCUAUCUCUUUUUAUUUACAUGUGUGUUUCUAAUAAUAGAUCUUUCUCCUGAUUACCAGUUCCUUUUUCCUGCCUAGUAAUUUAUAACUGAAUGGGGAGUAUUGAGAAUGUUACAUUGUUAAACCUAUUUACAUGGUUUAAUUUUAAAAGGGCUGGGGUUUUUUAACUGUAAUAUAGUUUAAUUUGAUGUUUCGAAUCCUUUUUAAAAAGUUUUGUGGUGAGAGUCUUGUUUACUGGAGACUCUAUAAGGUUUCUGUUGAAAUUCUAGGUGUUGUUCUCUACUCACAUUUCAUUUAAGAAUUUUCUAUUGUAAAGUGUCUGUUCAUAUCCUUUGCCCAUUUUUGAAUGGGCUUGUUUUUUUCCUGUAAAUCUGUUUGAGUUCUUUGUAAAUUCUUGAUAUCAGCCCUUCAUCAGAUGGGUAAACUGCAAAAAUUAUAUGAGGCCAAUAAACAUAUGAGAAAAUGCUCAUCAUCACUGGUCAUUAGAGAGAUGCAAAUCAAAACCACAUUGAGAUACCAUCUCACACCAGUUAGAAUGGCGAUCAUUAAAAAAUCUGGAGACAACAGAUGCUGGAGAGGAUGUGGAGAAACAGGAACACUUUUACACUGUUGGUGGGAGUGUAAAUUAGUUCAACCAUUGUGGAAGACAGUGUGGCGAUUCCUCAAGGCCUUAGAAAUAGAAAUUCCAUUUGACUCAGCAAUCCCAUUACUGGGUAUAUAUCCAAAAGACUAUAAAUCGUUCUACUAUAAGGACACAUGCACACGAAUGUUCAUUGCAGCACUGUUUACAAUAGCAAAGACCUGGAACCAACCCAAAUGCCCAUCGAUGAUAGACUGGAUUGGGAAAAUGUGGCACAUAUACACCAUGGAAUAUUAUGCAGCAAUCAGAAAUGAUGAGUUGGUGUCGUUUGCAGGGACAUGGAUGAAUCUGGAGAACAUCAUUCUCAGCAAACUGACAAAAGAACAGAAAAUGAAAUACGGUAUAUUCUCACUCAUAGGCGGGUGAUGAAAAAUGAGAACACAUGGACACAGGGAGGGGAGUACUAAACA